CAACGUACACUCACACACACGUUAAGGCAAUGUUUGCAUAGCGUCUGUUAUCGUCGAUCUCGUCGCCAUUAUUGCACCCAGUGGUUUUGUUAAUUUAAACGGUUAUAAUGGCAAUCAAGUUCAGCAUGAAUAACAGGUGGGAUACGUGCCGUCGUAGCCUACUAAAAACGUUAACGUCCCGAAAUAUUAGUUAUUAUGCUCUUGGAUAUUGCGUCUAAGGAAGAUAAUCAAGGCUGUUGUGGGCCUUUUGCAUUGAGAUAACUGGGCUGUUUCCCUGUCAACUGUAAUCCCGACAACAAAAUAUUGAAGGAAGCUCUGUGUGACAAUCUGUUGCCAAAAGCUUUUAGCUGCACUACAGGGAUACCAUGAUGACUAUGAUCAAUGUUUUGAUUGGUUACACUUUGUCGAAGUCCUAGCAAUUCAUCCUGCAUUGGGACAGACGGCGGGGCGGAAAGUAAAUGAAUGGUCCCUGUUUAUUAUUAUCCUUUAUAUGUCUAGUUAGUAUAGCACUCAAGCGAAAUUAAUCAAAAGCGUUUUAAAUCCACCGUUUGAGCCUAGAACUAUGCCAGUUUGCAUGUAGACUGCCAUUGUGCUCUGGACCCUUCUCGCUGCAUGUCUGUUUCGUGGGCUCCCCUCCCCUCCCCUCCCAGGACAGGCAAUGGAAGCUGAAAAAGGACUGUAUACACACACUCAUCCACGUUGGACUGGGACAGCAGACAGGGACUGCAUUCAGAAAUCAACGAGUGUGCUCUCUGCCUCAGAGGGAUCAAGAAGAGAGAUAAUCUCAUGUGAACCGUUGUGCUCUAAACCUGGUGGCACUGACUGGCUUUCACCUCCACCGUAUGAAGCCCACUGUGCAUUGGGCUCGUACGUACUGAUGGCUGCCUAGUAGGCAGCAGUAAAUGAUAUGCUCCUGACUUAUCUCUGUCUGGCUCUUUGGUGGGCUUUUCGUUUCACUUAUUUGACGGAGCAACAGUUUGUUGUCACGGUGUAGUAGAGUGGUAGUAAAGGUUUUAUUUGCUUGAUUGUUCAAUCGUCCAAAGUCUAACAAGGCAAACCACUGUAUGACACAAUAUAGUCCUCAUCUUUCAUCAUGAGCAUUAAACAUUUAUUCCUCUACAUUUAGUUAUAUUCGAGCAGUGUCUCUCUCUCUCUCUGUUUAAUGCAGUCACUAGCAAAGUUGCUGUAUCUUAAUAGAAGUCCUAUUCCAGUCAGUUUCCAUGAGUUUAUAAAAUAACAGACCAGAAUAGCAAGUAAAACACAACCCGCAGCUGUUAAUGACAUGUUUUGCCUCCUAAAUAGAAGACACCGCUUUCAUUUUGAAUUUAAAUGAAUCUCUGACAUGCUUCUUUUUUUUUCUGGUAGACAUGGAAUGUUUUGAUUGUAUGUUCAGUUCUAUUUCCAAUUCUGAGUCUUUCAGUAACAUGCCGUCAACAACAGACACACACAGACACACAGACGCACACACACACACACACACACACACACACACACACACACACACACACACACACACACACACACACACACACACACACACGCA